rnacentral:rRNA from 1 species
GUUUGAUCAUGGCUCAGGAUGAACGCUAGCGGGAGGCUUAAUACAUGCAAGUCGAGGGAGAAUUUGUCUUCGGACAGAGGAAACCGGCGCACGGGUGAGUAACACGUACACAACUUACCCCUAACUGGGGAAUAGCCCUGGGAAACUGGGAUUAAUACCCCAUAAUAUUGACGCGUCUCAUGAAAUGUCAAUUAAAGUUCCGACGGUUAGGGAUGGGUGUGCGUCUGAUUAGCUAGUUGGUAGGGUAACGGCCUACCAAGGCGACGAUCAGUAGGGGGCGUGAGAGCGUGGUCCCCCACACGGGUACUGAGACACGGACCCGACUCCUACGGGAGGCAGCAGUAAGGAACAUUGGACAAUGGAGGCAACUCUGAUCCAGCCAUCCCGCGUGUAGGAAGAAGGCCCUAUGGGUUGUAAACUACUUUUGUCAGGGAAUAAACCUCUCGAUUCACUCGGGAGCUGAAGGUACCUGAAGAAUAAGCACCGGCUAACUCCGUGCCAGCAGCCGCGGUAAUACGGAGGGUGCAAGCGUUAUCCGGAAUCACUGGGUUUAAAGGGUGCGUAGGUGGCAUCGUAAGUCAGAAGUGAAAGUUUGCGGCUUAACCGUAAAAUUGCUUUUGAUACUGCAAUGCUUGAAUCAGGUUGAGGUUGGCGGAAUGUGGCAUGUAGCGGUGAAAUGCUUAGAUAUGCCAUAGAACACCGAUUGCGAAGGCAGCUGACUGGACCUGUAUUGACGCUGAGGCACGAAAGCGUGGGGGAGCGAACAGGAUUAGAUACCCUGGUAGUCCACGCCCUAAACGAUGCUCACUCGAUGUGUGACCAUUAGGUCGCGCAUCCAAGCGAAAGCGUUAAGUGAGCCACCUGGGGAGUACGUUCGCAA